GUCUGGUAGGUGUUGCAGCUGAAGUUCUUGUUGCUGAGGCAGGUUAGGAACCCUCUGGAGAUGCUGGAGAGGAGUGGUUUCAGUUUCACCUCCAUCCACACCUUUAUCAGGUCCUCAUCUUGGUAGGCUUCUGUCUCUGGGUUCACACUGAUACCCAGCUCUAGUUUGAACACUGGGGUCUGGGAUAGACUGGAUCUCUGCAGAGGGGGAGACAGGGGUUAAAGUUCACACUGAUACCCAGCUCUAGUUUGAACACUGGGGUCUGGGAUAGACUGGAUCUCUGGAGAGGGGGAGACAGGGGUUAAGGUUCACACUAAUACCCAGCUCUAGUCUGAACACUGGGGUCUGGGAUAGACUGGAUCUCUGGAGAGGGGGAGACAGGGGUUAAGGUUCACAAUGAUACCCAGCUCUAGUCCUAACACUGGGG
ensembl:lncRNA